rnacentral:rRNA from 1 species
UACGUAGGGACCGAGCGUUGUCCGGAAUCAUUGGGCGUAAAGAGCGUGUAGGCGGCCAAUUAAGUCCUGCGUGAAAUCUCGGGGCUCAACCCCGAGCGGUCGUGGGAAACUGGUUGGCUAGAGUGCGGGAGAGGAGAGUGGAAUUCCUGGUGUAGCGGUGAAAUGCGCAGAUAUCAGGAGGAACACCUGCGGUGUAGACGGCUUUCUGGACCAUUACUGACACUGAGACACGAAAGCGUGGGUAGCAAACAGG